rnacentral:rRNA from 1 species
GACGAACGCUGGCGGCGUGCUUAACACAUGCAAGUCGAACGAUGAACCCGGAGCUUGCUCCGGUGGAUUAGUGGCGAACGGGUGAGUAACACGUGAGUAACCUGCCCUUGACUCUGGGAUAACUGCGGGAAACUGUAGCUAAUACCGGAUACGACCCUCGGCGGCAUCGCCAGGGGGUGGAAGGAAUUUCGGUCAAGGAUGGACUCGCGGCCUAUCAGCCAGUUGGUGAGGUAACGGCUCACCAAGGCGACGACGGGUAGCCGGCCUGAGAGGGUGACCGGCCACACUGGGACUGAGACACGGCCCAGACUCCUACGGGAGGCAGCAGUGGGGAAUAUUGCACAAUGGGCGCAAGCCUGAUGCAGCAACGCCGCGUGAGGGAUGACGGCCUUCGGGUUGUAAGCCUCUUUUAGUAGGGAAGAAGCGAAAGUGACGGUACCUGCAGAAAAAGCACCGGCUAACUACGUGCCAGCAGCCGCCGUAA